rnacentral:rRNA from 1 species
AGGAUGAACGCUAGCGGCAGGCCUAAUACAUGCAAGCUGAACGGUAAAUAUUGUAGCAAUACAGUAUGAGAGUAGCGUAAGGGUGCGUAACACGUAUGCAAUCUGCCCUGUACAGGAGAAUAGCUCGGCGAAAGCCGGAUUAAUGCUCCGUAAUAUUUAGGUGUGGCAUCACAUUUAAAUUAAAGUUGCAAGAUGGUACAGGAUGAGCAUGCGUCUGAUUAGCUAGUUGGUAGUGUAACGGACUACCAAGGCGAUGAUCAGUAGGGGAACUGAGAGGUUGAUCCCCCACACUGGCACUGAGAUACGGGCCAGACUCCUACGGGGGGCAGCAGUAGGGAAUAUUGGUCAAUGGUGAGAGCCUGAACCAGCCAUGCCGCGUGCAGGAAGAAGGCCUUCUGGGUUGUAAACUGCUUUUGGCCGGGGAUAAAAGUUCCCAUGCGUGGACAUUGAAGGUACCCGGUGAAUAAGCCAACGGCUAACUACGUACG